GACAGAGGGUGCAAACGUUGUUCGGAAUUACUGGGCGUAAAGCGCGUGUAGGCGGCUCUGCAAGUCAGGUGUGAAAUCCCACGGCUCAACCAUGGAAGUGCACUUGAAACUGCAGGGCUAGAGUCCUGGAGAGGAAGGUGGAAUGCUUGGUGUAGAGGUGAAAUUCGUAGAUAUUCGGAAGAACACCAGUGGCGAAGGCGGCUCACUGGACUGGUAUUGACGCUGAGGUGCGAAAGCGUGGGGAGCAAUCAGG
rnacentral:rRNA from 1 species